ACUAACAGGCCACGCAAGGUCCCUAGGACGGCAGCCAGUGAUGCAAGACAGUCUCCCAUGUGGACAUUGCGGCAGAAUGCCUAAACCAACUGCGUGCAGUGAAAGCAUCACAGGGUUCCAAGGAAAAUCACGACUUUCCCUACUUUUUCUGUAUGUCGUUGGCAGAACAGCUGCGCUUGCUAAGCCCCCACCAGCAGGUAGAUGCUGUAACAGCACUGCAAGAAGUGAUGC
rnacentral:lncRNA from 1 species